GCGCAUCGAGCGACGACUACUGCAUCUGCCGCCAGCACCAAGCCAAGAUGUAGAGCGGUGGUCGACGGCGGCAACCUGCUCCCAAGUUGCAAGUGAUGUUGCCAGAUAGCAGUAUACCAAGGGUUCUAAGAAUUUGAUUCAUAAAUGUAGCCAAGAUGCAGCGCGGUGGUCGACGGCGGCGGCCUGCUCCCAAGUUGCAGGUGCGUGCAUGGACAUCUUCAUGAUUACUGAUUAUAAGAUCUUCAUGAUUACUGAUUAUAAGUG